UACGGAGGGUGCGAGCGUUGUCCGGAAUCACUGGGCGUAAAGGGCGCGUAGGCGGCCGCGUAAGUCACUUGUGGAAUCCCGGGGCUCAACUCCGGGGCCGCAGGUGAGACUGCGUGGCUAGAGCACGGUAGAGGCGAGUGGAAUUCCCGGUGUAGCGGUGGAAUGCGUAGAUAUCGGGAAGAACACCGGUGGCGAAGGCGGCUCGCUGGGCCGUUGCUGACGCUGAUGCGCGAAAGCGUGGGGAGCAAACAGG
rnacentral:rRNA from 1 species